AGGAGACUGAAGUCAACGUGUGCGCACUUAUGACAAGGCAUAGAGGAGGGCCAAGAAGGCGGAAUGCGAGUUGGCUGUGGACACCACGGAGCUGUCGGCGAUGCUGCUGCGGGUGCAGCUGAGGCAAGAAGUAUGGGUCGUGUCUGAGAGGCUGGAUGAAACUGAGC